rnacentral:rRNA from 1 species
GACGAACGCUGGCGGCGUGCCUAAUACAUGCAAGUAGAACGCUGAAGCUUGGUGCUUGCCCCGAGCGGAUGAGUUGCGAACGGGUGAGUAACGCGUAGGUAACCUGCCUGGUAGCGGGGGAUAACUAUUGGAAACGAUAGCUAAUACCGCAUAAGAGUAGAUGUUGCAUGACAUUUGCUUAAAAGGUGCAAUUGCAUCACUACCAGAUGGACCUGCGUUGUAUUAGCUAGUUGGUGAGGUAACGGCUCACCAAGGCAACGAUACAUAGCCGACCUGAGAGGGUGAUCGGCCACACUGGGACUGAGACACGGCCCAGACUCCUACGGGAGGCAGCAGUAGGGAAUCUUCGGCAAUGGACGGAAGUCUGACCGAGCAACGCCGCGGGAGUGAAGAAGGUUUUCGGAUCGUAAAGCUCUGUUGUAAGAGAAGAACGAGUGUGAGAGUGGAAAGUUCACACUGUGACGGUAUCUUACCAGAAAGGGACGGCUAACUACGUG